UACGGAGGGGGCUAGCGUUGUUCGGAAUUAGCUGGGCGUAAAGCGCACGUAGGCGGCUUUGUAAGUCAGAGGUGAAAGCCCGGAGCUUAACUCCGGAAUUGCCUUUGAGACUGCAUCGCUCGAAUCCAGGAGAGGUGAGUGGAAUUCCGAGUGUAGAGGUGAAAUUCGUAGAUAUUCGGAAGAACACCAGUGGCGAAGGCGGCUCACUGGACUGGUAUUGACGCUGAGGUGGCGAAAGCGUGGGGAGCAAACAGG
rnacentral:rRNA from 1 species